AAGCAAUUUGCUCAUAGCCAUAGCUUUCUUGUGAAAGUAGGAUAUUAACCCAGGUGUCUUGGUGCUGGAGAACAGAACUGGCCAGAGUCCAUCCUGUCUCCCACCGGCAUCCCAUUACGAAAUGAACACAGAAAAGGCAGGUCUGCAAUGCCAACAUCUAGUAUCUAUCCCAAAGACCAGGGAGAAAGGAAGGAAAGAUUCUGGUUCUGUCCUCUUCCCCAAGGCAAGGCUGGCUGCCCUACCAACAGAGGCAAAGAGAAGAGUGUGCAAGGCUGGCUGCCCUCCCAACAGAGGCAAAGAGGAGUGUGUGUUGAAAUAUCCAUUGAAUCCCUGAGACAACUGGAUCCUGGCCCAUUGAAUCAUAAACUCAUUUCAGAGAAGAUGAAACUGAUGUGCGUCAAAAAGUAAACUACCCACAUUUUAACUGGGCACAUUCCUGUCAAUCUGAUGAGAAUCUAUUUCAUACCCUGCUUUAGCUGGUAGUCUGUCAAGGAAAUGAGCUGAACAUGUCUGUGUACAGCUUUUGUGCCAUCCCUGGAUGAGCGAGCUGUCUGCCUCUAUGUUCUCCACAAAAUGGAAUAUAGCUGUACACCCAAGCCAAGUUAUGGAGGCUGGGAAGACCUAGAAUGUGGCAUCACUAUUUGGUUAUUUAGAAAAUUGUUACCUCAAAAAUGACCUAGGGGUCCUUAGAAUAAUAACACACAGAAGAAUAGCCUCAUUUUUCUGUUGGGCCCAGGAAACCAUGCCGAUUACCGACCGAGCUCUCAAUGGAAAAAUGCAGUCGGCGUGAACCACGCACGAACACAGCAGAGAAAGAAGAAAACACACACCACGAGGAACCCUAAUAGGACAAUACAUUAUAAGUCACAGUGCUACGGAGAAACCCAGUAGCCACAUGGAAGCAGAGACCAUGCAUAUGCAUCUACUCCGCAGCUCUGUGAAUGUCAGCAGCUCCCACGGACUGGAGAUCCCGUGAGAUCCCGUGAGAUCUCACCCAUAGCCUCAUGGUACAUCCACUUGGUGUGCUGGGAGAGUCAGGAUGAGGACCUGAGAAGAACAGCAGCUUGAACCUGACUUCAUUUAACAGCCCACUGCCCUCUUGCCAAGAACCCAUCACAGACCUUCCCAGAAGAGAGGGAUGAGCCUCACCUAUGAAUAAGUCCUCAGAAACUCAAAUUUGAUUCUAAUGGAUUGUUUUCUCAGAAAGACUGAGCAUGUCCCCCCACAUCUCUGUCAUUUCCCACAGUAGUAACCUCUGCAGAUGCCACAUAGAAAACAAAACAAAACAAAAAAACAUGAGGUUGGUGGGCAGAUAGGCAGGGUAUAAACAAACAGCCUUGUAACCCAGAAGCUGUGUGAUAUACAGUAAACUUCACAACACUGAAAAGAUGUCCUAUCUGUUAAAAUGGGGUAAUAACAACUACCCGAAUGUUUAGGAAUAGAACUUCAAUAAAUGAUACAUUUUAUAGUACAGCAGACCAUCCUGUAAAGGUUUCAUCCUUCACUGUGGUGAUAAAUAUCCCAAACCACAUUGAAAAGCAUUGCAUCUACAUUUAUCUACACUGUAACUGUACUGUAAAUCAUGGGGGAGGGGAGAAUCAUAAAAACACCACCUGUCACCGUGUCAUUAAAGCAAGUUGGAAGUGAUACUUACAGAAACACAGCAAGAGCACCCCCAGUCACACAGUUCAAUCUCUUAGCAAGCGUUUUCUUUCUAGCCCAGUGGUUCUCAGUUUGGAAUUUUUGGCACUGCCUAGAGAUAGUUUUGUUGUUAAAACUGAGAAAAGAGCCGGGCGUGGUGGCACACGCCUUUAAUCCCAGCACUCAGGAGGCAGAGGCAGG
rnacentral:lncRNA from 1 species